rnacentral:lncRNA from 1 species
ACUUUUUAUCCAGGCCGUUUCUCAGCGUUGGAUGUGCAAGCAGUUUUGAGAGAUGAAGUCAUGACUUCAAGACAAAAAAACAGGUUUGCUUAUUUUGCUACAAACCAAUAAGUUCUUCAGCCAUGCUGCAAAUCCACUGUGUAUCCAGUUCCCAUCUGCGGCCCGCACAUCAUCCCCAUGGGACUUGAGAGCAAGAGGAUCCCACGCAAAUCAUGUUGCUUGCUAUGCUGUAUAGAUGAAGGAGAGGCUGGUGUCUGCUUUUCACCUGAAGAUUCCUGGGAAUCACAUUUGCCUGAAGCAUUCAUAAGAGCAUGGCAAAAGGGGCAGUUGCUCUGUUGUGCCAGGAAGAAGAUGGAGGUAACCCCAUGCCUUCAUUCCAGUUAUCCAAAGCUCUCAAAGCUGUAGAAGAGAACUUCAAAGUUCUGUUUUAUUAUUAUUAUUAUUAUACUUUAAGUUCUGGGACACAUGUGCAGAACAUACAGGUUUGUUACAUAGGUAUACAUGUGCCAUGGUGGUUUGCUGCACCCAUCAACCCGUCAUCUACAUUAGGUGUUUCUCCUAAUGCUAUCUCUCCCCUUGCCCCCCACUCCCUGACAGGCCUCGGUGUGUGAUGCCACCCCCACCCUCGUGUCCAUGUGUUCUCAUUGUUCAACUCCCACUUAUGAGUGAGGACAUGUGGUAUUUGGUUUUCUGUACCUGUGUUAGUUUGCUGAGAAUGAUGGUUUCCAGCGUCAUCCAUGUCCCUACAAAGGUCAUGAACUCAUUCUUUUUUAUGGCUGCAUAGUAUUCCAUGGUGUAUAUGUGCCACAAUUUUCUUAAUUUAGUCUAUCAUUGAUGGGCAUUUGGGUUGACUCCAAGUCUUUCCUAUUGUGAACAGUGCUGCAAUAAACAUACAUGUGCAUGUGUCUUUAUAGUA